rnacentral:rRNA from 1 species
CCUACGGGAGGCAGCAGUGAGGAAUCUUGCACAAUGGGGGCAACCCUGAUGCAGCGACGCCGCGUGGGCGAGGAAGGCCUUCGGGUCGUAAAGCCCUUUUCUGCGUGACGAGUGAGGACGGUAGCGCAGGAAGAAGCGUCGGCUAACUACGUGCCAGCAGCCGCGGUAAAACGUAGGACGCGAGCGUUAUCCGGAGUGACUGGGCGUAAAGGGCGUGCAGGCGGGGGCGGCAGUCAUGCGUGAAAGCCUUCGGCUCAACCGGGGGAGGUCGCGUGAUACUCCGCUUCUAGAGGGCGCGAGAGGGACACGGAAUUCCGGGUGUAGUGGUGAAAUGCGUAGAGAUCCGGAGGAACACCAGUGGCGCAGGCGGUGUUCUGGGGCGCACCUGACGCUGAGACGCGAAAGCAUGGGGAGCGAACGGGAUUAGAUACCCGAGUAGU